UUNGGAGCUCUCCCNUAUGGUCGGACCUGCAGGCGGCCGCGAAUUCACUAGUGAUUAGAGUUUGAUCCUGGCUCAGGAUGAACGCUAGCUACAGGCUUAACACAUGCAAGUCGAGGGGCAGCAUGAAUUUAGCUUGCUAAGUUUGAUGGCGACCGGCGCACGGGUGAGUAACACGUAUCCAACCUGCCGAUGACUCGGGGAUAGCCUUUCGAAAGAAAGAUUAAUACCCGAUGGCAUAGUUCUUCCGCAUGGUGGAACUAUUAAAGAAUUUCGGUCAUCGAUGGGGAUGCGUUCCAUUAGGUUGUUGGCGGGGUAACGGCCCACCAAGCCUUCGAUGGAUAGGGGUUCUGAGAGGAAGGUCCCCCACAUUGGAACUGAGACACGGUCCAAACUCCUACGGGAGGCAGCAGUGAGGAAUAUUGGUCAAUGGACGAGAGUCUGAACCAGCCAAGUAGCGUGAAGGAUGACUGCCCUAUGGGUUGUAAACUUCUUUUAUACGGGAAUAAAGUGAGGCACGUGUGCCUUUUUGUAUGUACCGUAUGAAUAAGGAUCGGCUAACUCCGUGCCAGCAGCCGCGGUAAUACGGAGGAUCCGAGCGUUAUCCGGAUUUAUUGGGUUUAAAGGGAGCGUAGGCGGACGCUUAAGUCAGUUGUGAAAGUUUGCGGCUCAACCGUAAAAUUGCAGUUGAUACUGGGUGUCCUGAGUACAGUAGAGGCAGGCGGAAUUCGUGGUGUAGCGGUGAAAUGCUUANAUAUCACGAAGAACUCCGAUUGCGAAGGCAGCCUGCUGGACUGUAACUGACGCUGAUGCUCGAAAGUGUGGGUAUCAAACAGGAUUAGAUACCCUGGUAGUCCACACAGUAAACNAUGAAUACUCGCUGUUNNGCNAUAUACAGUANNCGGGC
rnacentral:rRNA from 1 species